AGAGUUUGAUCAUGGCUCAGGACGAACGCUGGCGGCGUGCCUAACACAUGCAAGUCGAGCGGGGUAUAGCAAUAUACCUAGCGGCGGACGGGUGAGUAACACGUGGGUAACCUGCCCUGCAGAGAGGGAUAGCCAUCCGAAAGGAUGAUUAAUACCACAUAACCCAUAUCCAUGGCAUCAUGGAUAUGGCAAAGAUUUAUCGCUGCAGGAUGGACCCGCGGCCCAUUAGCUAGUUGGUGAGAUAACAGCCCACCAAGGCGACGAUGGGUAGCCGAUCUGAGAGGAUGACCGGCCACAUUGGAACUGAGACACGGCCCAGACUCCUACGGGAGGCAGCAGUGGGGAAUUUUGGACAAUGGGGGCAACCCUGAUCCAGCAAUGCCGCGUGUGUGAAGAAGGCCUUCGGGUUGUAAAGCACUUUUGUUCGGGAAGAAAUCCUUCUGGCUAAUAUCCGGAAGGGAUGACGGUACCGGAAGAAUAAGCACCGGCUAACUACGUGCCAGCAGCCGCGGUAAUACGUAGGGUGCAAGCGUUAAUCGGAAUUACUGGGCGUAAAGCGUGCGCAGGCGGUUGUGCAAGACAGAGGUGAAAUCCCCGGGCUUAACCUGGGAACUGCCUUUGUGACUGCACGGCUAGAGUGUGUCAGAGGGGGGUAGAAUUCCACGUGUAGCAGUGAAAUGCGUAGAUAUGUGGAGGAAUACCGAUGGCGAAGGCAGCCCCCUGGGAUAACACUGACGCUCAUGCACGAAAGCGUGGGGAGCAAACAGGAUUAGAUACCCUGGUAGUCCACGCCCUAAACGAUGACAACUAGUUGUCGGGGAUUAAUUUCCUUGGUAACGCAGCUAACGCGUGAAGUUGACCGCCUGGGGAGUACGGUCGCAAGAUUAAAACUCAAAGGAAUUGACGG
rnacentral:rRNA from 1 species